GGCUUCAUAGCUCAGUUGGUUAGAGGUUAGAGUGUCGCACCGGCAUCGCGAGGUCACCGGUUCAAACCCCGUUGAAGUCC
rnacentral:tRNA from 1 species